GGGUUGUGAGGUUAAGCGACUAAGCGUACACGGUGGAUGCCCUGGCAGUCAGAGGCGAUGAAGGACGUGCUAAUCUGCGAUAAGCGUCGGUAAGGUGAUAUGAACCGUUAUAACCGGCGAUUUCCGAAUGGGGAAACCCAGUGUGUUUCGACACACUAUCAUUAACUGAAUCCAUAGGUUAAUGAGGCGAACCGGGGGAACUGAAACAUCUAAGUACCCCGAGGAAAAGAAAUCAACCGAGAUUCCCCCAGUAGCGGCGAGCGAACGGGGAGCAGCCCAGAGCCUGAAUCAGUGUGUGUGUUAGUGGAAGCGUCUGGAAAGGCGCGCGAUACAGGGUGACAGCCCCGUACACAAAAAUGCACAUACUGUGAGCUCGAUGAGUAGGGCGGGACACGUGGUAUCCUGUCUGAAUAUGGGGGGACCAUCCUCCAAGGCUAAAUACUCCUGACUGACCGAUAGUGAACCAGUACCGUGAGGGAAAGGCGAAAAGAACCCCGGCGAGGGGAGUGAAAAAGAACCUGAAACCGUGUACGUACAAGCAGUGGGAGCACGCUUCGGCGUGUGACUGCGUACCUUUUGUAUAAUGGGUCAGCGACUUAUAUUCUGUAGCAAGGUUAACCGAAUAGGGGAGCCGAAGGGAAACCGAGUCUUAACUGGGCGUUAAGUUGCAGGGUAUAGACCCGAAACCCGGUGAUCUAGCCAUGGGCAGGUUGAAGGUUGGGUAACACUAACUGGAGGACCGAACCGACUAAUGUUGAAAAAUUAGCGGAUGACUUGUGGCUGGGGGUGAAAGGCCAAUCAAACCGGGAGAUAGCUGGUUCUCCCCGAAAGCUAUUUAGGUAGCGCCUCGUGAA
rnacentral:rRNA from 1 species